AUCUUUAGUAAUUGCGAAUGAACAAGGAUAUGCUUAGCUUGACAACUGGAGCUAUUGGCUUUGAAUUGUAUUGUGGAAAUGUAUUACCAACAGAGGUGCAGGUGCCAGCCUAUUGAAAUAAAGCGUCAAUGAGGGUGAGAAUCCUGUUUGUCAUGUGCAGCCCUUUGUGCACGGUGUAUAUUUGCUGAGUCACACUCCUUGGCAUUGGAAUGCAAAGUGGGUGGUAAGUUUCAUGUAAAGGUAAACAUGCAAUUGAGACUGAUAGCACACAAGUACCAUGAGGGAAAUAUGAAAAGGACUUUGAAAAGAGAAUUAAAUGAGUUUGUAUUUGCUGAACACAAAGUAAACAGACUUGAUUUGCUUGGUGGGAGUGUUGCACUUGCUUGACAAGAGCUUUGGGCUGUGGGUGUAAUGAUUCUUUCUUUGCAUGCCAGUUUCUAUUUGUACAUCUGAUUACCUUUGCACAUGAAUGAUAAGUCUCCUGUGGGGGGUGGAUUGCAUGUGCAUGUAAUGAUUUGUGUUUUGAUAAAUGUGUCUGGUGUAUGUGUGUGUGUUCCUGUGCUUGGGGAUGCUUCCUUCCUUGGACUUACAAGCCCUGACAC
rnacentral:rRNA from 1 species